rnacentral:lncRNA from 1 species
GAAGAUGAAGUUUGAGAAGUAUUGGAAAGAAGUCCAUGGUCUUAUGUCUGUGGCAACAGUCCUUGAUCCAAGAUAUAAGCUUCAUAUGUUGCAAGCUUUGUUUGGCUCUCUCUAUGGGUUUGAACAUGCAACUACAGAAGUGGAGAAAAUUAGAAAGUUAAUGGGUGAUUUGUUGCUAGAAUAUCAAGCAUCUGAUGGUGGUGUGGGUACCUCGGAGUCACAUGUAGGUGGGAGUGUUUCUACCCAAGGUGGUGCUGCAGUAGAUGAAAUGGAGAAUAUAUUUAAACAAUAUAUGUCCUCGAAGCCUGUUACGAGUGCUUCUCGUGUGCGUACAGAACUGGACUUAUAUUUGGAAGAGGAAAUUAUCCAUAGGCCAGAGGGUCUCGACAUCAUCAAUUGGUGGCAGUAUGCAGGUAUCAAGUAUCCUACAUUGCGAAGAAUGGCUCAUGAUAUACUAGCCAUUCCUGUAACAACUGUGGCGUCGGAAUCUGCCUUCAGUACUAGUGGGAGAAUACUAAGUGCACAUAGAUGUUCACUUGCACCAAACAUGACUGAAGCUCUUAUGUGUAUGCAAGCUUGGUCCCGUGCAGACAUGUUAGGUGAUAAUCUAUUUCAAUCAUGACUCUUCUUUCCAUACACAAUAUUAUUUCCUUGCUAUAUGUUAAUAUCUAAAUCUAUGCAUCAGGGAUUGCAAUUCUACUCUCUUUGCGGACUUUGAAACUGUUCUUAAGGAUGACACGGAAAUGAUGGUAAUAGAUUCUACUUUUAGCAACUUAGCAUGCCUUUUAAUCUUAUAGAUUUUAAUGCAAAUCUUGUUGUUUACUUUGAAUGCUUCUAUUUUCUUGUGUUUCAGGAGGUUGAUGAUCAAUCCAUCCUAACUGAAGCCUGAAACAUGAUUGUAUGAUGUUGCUGCUGCUGCUUGGUUGCGACGAGAAGGCGGACGACCCGGCGUGCUACACUGCUACCUGUUGUUAUUUACAUUUAUCCAUGGCUGCUACACUACUACUUCCUACUGCUAGCUUGUAUUUGUAUUUCUGCUGCUAUUUGUGCACCUGAACCUUGUAUCUCUGCUCCUGAACCUUGUAUUUGUGCUUCUGAAGACCUGCACCAUGUAUUUGUGAUGCUAUUUGUGCUCUUGAACCUUGUAUUUGCCUUCCUGAUAUUGUGUUUUCUAGCUGUUCUACUAUGUAUUCACAUUGAUGGUUAGUAACUGAAGCUAUUUGUGCAUUUUUGUCACUGUGUGAACCAAUAUUCGUUAUAUGAAUUUUGCCACUACUCUGUUGUACACUGUACAAGAACAAUAUACAGCAGCCCGAUGGGUAACCCAUCGGGUCGGGUUACCCAUUGGGUUCGGGCGUGGGUCUGAUCCUUCGCCCAUGGGCAGGGUCGUGGGCGACUGGGUAGACCCAUUUAGUAAUCGGGCAUGGGUUUGGUAGACCUCGACCCGGGCAAACCCGACCCGACUGCCAGGUUGACUCUGGGGUACAGUUUUAUGUGAGAUACAUCAGAGGGGAGACGGGAGAUACACACGCACGCUUAACACAACAAACUCCGGUGCCUGAUCGUAUCUUUAGGUUACUGAUGUGAGAUACAUGCGGCAUGUUUGCAUGCAUGGCCGCUUGACCAGAAUGGCCGCCCGUGAGACUUGCUCAUAUGAGAAAUGACCAUACGGAUUAGCUUGAGAUCGCAAGAACAAAGUUUUGAAGCAUUCUAUUACCUCCCAGCCAUACAGAGUACUAUCCAUGCAAGGACGCAGGUUGUACGUUGGCUUCUGGGUGAAUUCAAGAAAAACAGUGAUGGGCUGGGUUAGCUUGAACCCAUGAUGACGAUGGCGCCGACAGCACACGAUCAACACUUCAGCUUGUAGGAUUGAACGACCAGAUCGAGACUCAUGUCGGCAAGACGGCCGUGUUGGCUACGACUCUCGGAGGAAGUGAAGUUGGGUGUGGAGAAGGGGGCAGCCGGAAGAAUAGUAGAGCUAUGAACGGGCUCUUGAUUUCAAAGUGCUUUAUAGAUCAAAGGGGAGAGGUCCAAAGGUCAGCUUAGUGGAGCGGCGCCUGUUCGAUUGCCUAGAUCAUAACUUAAUGGAGGAAGAGGUGCAUGUAGGUAGCUGGUCAUUUACCUCGGCAGCCCGAUGGUCGCCUCCCUCGCCUUUUUCUUGUGUGCAUUCACUGCACCUAGUGCCGAGAGAAGAGGAAGGGACAAACCUGCAUGCUGGAGGUUGCCCCGCUGCCUGUAAGUAGCCGACUGGUCGUCUGCCUCGCCGGUUUUGUCUACAUGCACCUAGUGCCGCGAGAGACGAAAGGACAAAUCUGCAUGUAAAUGAUUGAUUUGGGGGAAGUAGUACGAAGCUACAUGGCAGUAGCUGCAGCGCUGAUGAGGGAUAGUGCAAAUUGUAAGACACUCCAUAGAAAACAUUGACAAUUAAUAACGGAUGAUGUGGCUUUAGCAUACGUCAGAAAAUUUAGUAGUGGGAGCUGAUGUGGCAAGAAGGAUGAUGUGGAUAGCUUGCAUGUUUANNNNNNNNNNNNNNNNNNNNNNNNNNNNNNNNNNNNNNNNNNNNNNNNNNNNNNNNNNNNNNNNNNNNNNNNNNNNNNNNNNNNNNNNNNNNNNNNNNNNCACCCAUGGAAAUGGCAUGGUAAGAUUUUCUAUUAUUAUGACACCAUUGCAUCUUUUGCAUACAUUGUUCUAAAGCUAAACUACAUUCCUAACUACGUUACUAUUAUGCUCUUCAACGGAAAAUCCCGAAGGAUUGUGUGCCUCAUCUGAUGCAUAGGAAAGGUCACAUGGAUGUAGUUAGCUUACGACCAAGUCCGCCUAUGGGUCACCGCUGUUCAUACAAGAUUUCUUGAACAAAUGAAGACCUCACAAUCAAAGAAUGGAAAAAAGAUAUGCAUGAUCGUAGGGAGGUACUUGGAAGCAACAUUGUGCGAAGCCCAUGAAUUGGAGACAGGAUAAUCUCCAUUCUCCAUAAUGGAGAGUCAGGGGCUAUGUUGUUUUAUGCUAUUUUACUUUAGAGAGGGUAGCAGGUCCUAGCUAAUACUCAUGAUCAUGUGCUAAGAACAAUUAACUAGGGUUGGUUAUGACUAUGAUGAUGAUGAGUAUGACUUGUUAUUAUGAUAACGAGUAGAAGUUGUUAGAUGACUAUGAUGAUGAUGAGUAUGACUUGUUAUUAUGAUAACGAGUAGAAGUUGUUAGAUGACUAUGAUGAUGAUGAGUAUGACUUGUUAUUAUGAUAACAAGUAGAAGUUGUUAAAUGACUAUGAUGAUGAUGAGUAGUAUGACCUUUUAUUAUGAUAAUGAUGAUGAGUUAUAUAUUAUAAUGAUGAUGAUGAUGAUGCUGAGUUGUUAUAUGAGCAUGAUGAGUUAUUAUAUAUCAGUCGGUGAAAUAAACGUGGAUUACAUUCAAGUGGAGGCAACAUGGUGCAGACCGAAAGUAUUACUAAUCCAAACUAAACUGAUCAAGUUUGGAUUAGUAGUAAUUUCGAUCUGCACUAUGUUGCCUCCACUUGAAUCUAAUCCACAUCUAUUUCACCCACUGAUAUAAUAACUCAUCAUGAUCAUAAAAUCAUAUGAUGAGACAACUUUAUAAAACAUGUACAAAUACAAUGCCAAUAUGCAUAAAAAAUCCGCGUUGCUGCUAUUAGCAGCAGCAUGCUCUAAGAAGCCACGAUGCUGCUAUUAGCAGCAACGAGUGUUAGUAGGCACGCUACUGCUAUAUAUGGUUAGCAGUAGCGCCGGUCAACCCUGGCUACUGCUAAGAUUUAGCCGGAGUGUCCUAGUUGUAGCGCGGCCACCCGCGCUACUACUAGCACUAUUUCCACCGCUACUACUAGGGUUUUCCCUAGUAGUGAUGCAUCUAGUGUAUUAAGUUAACAAAAACGGAGUAAGGCCUUAAGCAAGAUGACAGGAUGUAGAGGGAUAGAUCCAAUCAAUAUGGUAAAAAUCCCAUCUUUUUAUCCUUAAUGGCAACAAUACUAAUACGUGCCUCGUUACCCCUACUGUCACUGAGUGAGGACACAGGAAGACUGAACCCAUCACAAAGCACCUCUCCCAUUGCAAGAAAAACCAAUCUAGUUGGCCAAACCAAAUCGAUAGAUCGGAGAGAAAUACAAAGCUAUCUUAAUCAUGCAUAAAGAGUUAAGAGAAGACUCAAAUAAUAUUCAUAGAUAAUCUGAUAAUAAACCAACAAUUCAUCGGAUCUCAACAAACGCACCACAAAAGAAGAUUAGAUCGAAUAGAUCUCCAAGAACAUCGAUGAGAACAUUGUAUUGAAGAUCAAAGAGAGAAAAUAAGCCAUCUAGCUACUAGCUAUGGACCCGUAGGUCUGUGGUAAACUACUCACACAUCAUCGGAAGGGCAAUAAAGUUCGUGUAGAGGCCCUCCGUGAUCGAAUCCACCUCCGGCAGAGUGCCGGAAAAGGCCCCAAGGUGGAAUCUCACGAGAACAAAAGCUUGCGGCAGUGAAAAAGUAUUUUGGGUGUGCCCCUGGUGUACGGGGAAUAUUUGGGUAUUUAUAGAGCUAAGAUUAGGGUCAGGGGAGUCCCGAGGGGCCCACAAGCCUGGGGGGCGUGCCCCCCUGGGGUGCGCCCUGUGGGCUUGUGGACCUCUCGUGGCUCCUCUAGCCUCGUCCCGAAGGUUCAUGGUUGUCUUCUGGUCCAAGAAAAAUACUCAAAAAGUUUCGUUCCGUUUCGACUGUGUUUGGUAUUGAUUUUCUGUAAAAGACAAAAACAAGGAAAAAACAGCAACUGGCACUAGGCACUUGGUUAAUAGGUUAGUCCCAAAAAAUGAUAUAAAAUAUCAUAUUAAUGCAAAUAAAACAUCAAGAUGUAUAAUAUAAUAACAUGGAACAAUCAAAAAUUAUAUAUACGUUGGAGACGUAUCAUACUUCGAAGCACAAAUGUGGUAAAGGAUAUUAGCAUUACCCGUUGUCUCUUUUUUCUCUCAAUUGUGUUCUCUGUUCUUCUUAUUUUUACAACAAUAUCAUGAACCUCAUCCCUACUUUCCGAGGACUCAUCAGUCUCCAUGAUUCUUUUCCUCAUUGGGACAACGCUCUAAUAAUGAUGAUCAUCACACUUCUUUUUUACUUAGAACUUGAUAAACAGGAUGAUAUGACUAUAUCAGAAUGCCUUUGGCUGUGUACCAGGAUGUGCAAUGAUCUAGCGUAAAAUGUAUAACAUUGACGAACAGUGGCUUUGCCAGAAAUUGCAUGUUAGCUCUAUAUAAUCAUGCAAAGCAAAAUGACAAUGAAUGCUCAAGUCAUGUGAACAAUAACGGUGGAAGUUGCAUGGCAAUAUAUCUCGGAAUGGCUAUGUAAAUGCCAUGAAAGAUACACAUGGUGGAUAUUUUGAGGAAGGAUAUAAUAAUGUUUAUGUGUGAUGUAGCAUGUCAUAUCACGGGAUUUGGUUGCUCCGCCAAAAUUUGCACCAAGUCUCGAGGUGAGAACGGGCAAUGCACUAUACUGAAGAGGCUAGCAAAAUAUGGAAGGGUGGAAGUGCUUAUAGUCCACAAACUCACAUUAGUCAUAAAGAAAUCAAAUACUUAACGUGAAGUCUAUUAGCCCUCGAAGCAAAGUACUACCUGCAUGCCCCUAGGGAGGAGGUUGGGAGGAGUUAACCAUCAUGCACCCCCGAUGAGCCACCAAUGUCUGUGCUAAAACCGGCAGAUCUCGGGUAGGGGGUCCCAAGCUGGUGGUAUCAGCUAAAUGGUUACAGGAAGUAAAGAAAGACAUGAUGCUUACCUAGGUUUGGNNNNNNNNNNNNNNNNNNNNNNNNNNNNNNNNNNNNNNNNNNNNNNNNNNNNNNNNNNNNNNNNNNNNNNNNNNNNNNNNNNNNNNNNNNNNNNNNNNNNCCCUGCCCAACUAGCGCAGUCCCCGGGCCGAGUUCUGGAGUCUUCGGGCUGACCGUCGCAGUCCCCGGGCUGGGUUCUGAAGUCCCCGAGCCGGCUUCGACUGCGGUGUUUUUGAAGCCAUCUGUAAGAAUUCUUGUGCCGUCUGCUGAUGCUCUUGAGUCGGAUCCAACUUCUUCAGGGGGAGCUGGCACAAAAAUGGAGUCUGAUUCUGGCGAAGGCUUGAUAGACGGCUUGAGGAGGCGCUGAAGGGCGACGCCGGACGGUAUUGCUUGACGGGUGGAGCCGACUCGUGCCAGGGCGUCCGCUUGGUCGUUGUCGUUUCUUGGCACGUGAAGGAAUUCACACCCCUCAAAAUAUUCGCUGAGUUGCUGCACCAGGAAGCGGUAGCUUGCCAUGUUUGCAUCUUUGGCGUCCCAGUCGCCAGACGACUGCUGGACCACCAAAUCGGGAUCGCCGUAGCACAGGAUCCGGCGGAUGCCGAGCUCUUUGGCAAGCCGGAGCCCGUGAACGAGCACCUCGUAUUCGGCAACGUUGUUGGAGGCGGCGAAGUGGAUCUGAAGUGCGUACUUGAGCUUGUCGCCCUUGAGGGAGGUGAGGACGACACCGGCUCCCAAGCCGGUGCGCAUCUUGGAGCCAUCGAAAUGCAUCCGCCAAUGGGUGGAGUCGGGUGCUGGCGGCAGGUACUGGGUCUCGGCCCAGUCGACAAGGAAGUCGGCCAGUGCUUGUGACUUGAUGGCGGUGCGGGGCUGGUAGUAGAUGGUGUAGGGAGCCAGAUCUAUGGCCCACUUGGCUACUCGGCCCGAAGCAUCACGGCUUCCGAUGAUCUCGGACAGUGCAGCGGUGCAAACCACAGUGAUUGGAUGCUCUUGAAAGUAAGGCUUCAACUUCUUGGCGGCGAAAUGCACGCCAUAGCACAUCUUCUGGUAAUGGGGGUAGUUCUGCUUGGAGGUCGACAGUACCUCGCUCAGGUAAUAUACCGGUCUCUGGACAGGGAGCGCUUUGCCUUCCUCCUUGCGUUUGACUACGAUAACUGUGCUGACUACCCGGCUGGUGGCGGCAAUGUAAAGGAGCAUAGGCUCUUUAGGAGUCGGAGCCGCCAGCACAGGGGGAGUAGUCAACAUCUUUUUCAACUCAAGAAAUGCUUCGUCCGCCUUGUGGUUCCACUCAAAAAAAGGCGGUCUUACUCAUCAUUUGGUACAAAGGGAGAGCCUUCUCGCCCAGCCGACUGAUGAAUCGACUGAUGGACGCCGAGCAGACGGUGAACUUCUGCACAUCUAACAGUCAGCGGGGGACUUCCAUCCUCUCGAUGGCUUUGAUCUUUACAGGGUUGCACUCUAUGCCGCGUUCAGAGACUAGGAAGCCAAGGAGCUGGCCGGCUGGUACUCCGAAGACACACUUCUCUGGAUUGAGCUUGAUCUGGAAUAGGCGCAGAUUCUCAAAGGUUUCUUGGAGAUCUUCCAACAGUGUCCCACGCUUUUCCGUUUUCACCACCACAUCAUCCACGUAGACGUGGGCAUUUCUGCCGAGUUGCUUGAGGAGACACUUCUGCAUGCAACCCUGAAAGGUGGCGCCGGCAUUCCACAAGACGAACGUCAUAGUCAGGUAGCAGAAGGCUCCAAACGGCGUGAUGAAGGCAGUCUUCAGUCUGUCUGCCGGGUUCAGCUUGAUCUGGUGAUAUCCUGAAUAUGCAUCUAAGAAGCUCAACAGCUCACAUCCGGCUGUGGAGUCUAUCACCUGAUCAACUCUUGGCAGAGCAAAUGGGUCUUUGGGGCAAGCUUUGUUGAGGCUUGUGUAGUCGAUACACAUCCGCCACUGCUUGUUCUUCUUCAACACUAGGACCGGGUUCGCCAGCCAUUCUGGAAAGAACACCUCCAUAAUGAAGUCGACCGCUAGGAGUCGGGCUAUCUCUUCUCCAACAACUCUUCUCUUCUCUUCUGACAGGCGGCGCAAGGGCUGCCUAACGGGCUUCACAUCAGAUCGGACAUGUAACUUGUGCUCGGCGAAUUCCGUCGGUACACCUGGCAUGUCUUUAGGGGACCAUGCGAAGAUGUCUCGAUUCUCACGAAGGAAAUCGAUGAGCUCGCCUUCCUAUUUGCUGUCUAGGUUUGCGCCUAUGAUAGCGUGCCUCUCCGGGUGCUCCGGGUCCAAAGGUAUCCUCUUUGUCUCUUUAGCCGGCUUGAACGAACCCUCAGCUUCUGACUCCUUGGGGUCGGGCGACAUCUCUGGCUGCUUGCCGGCCAUCGCCACAACCCGAUCAAGGAGCCGCCUCUUAGCUGCGAUCACCAGGGACUCGGCCAGCUGACUACUCUCGGCCGCGCAGGCGGACGACUUCCUGUAGUCGCCGGCCACGGUCAGAAUCCCCUUUGAACUUGGCAUCUUCAUCUUGAGGUAAGCGUAGUGGGGGACUGCCAUGAACUUGGCCAAAGCAGGUCGGCCAAGCAAUGCUUGGUAUGGGCUUUCGAGGUCCACAACUUCAAACCAAACUGGCUCUCGGCAAAAAUAAUCUUUGUCUCCGAAGAGGACAUCUAUCUGGAUCUUGCCGAUUGGGGAGCAAGAAAGGCCAGGCACAAUGCCGUGGAAAACAGUUCGGCUGCUUUGAAGCUGUCUCUGCUUGAUUCCUAAUUUCUCCAUGGUAUCCUUGCAUAGGAUGUUGAUGCUACUGCCUCCGUCUAUAAACACUCGCGAGAAGCGAGCGGCCCGCCUAUCAGUGGCCAAGGUAGCACUCAGAACCAAGGUGUAGGAGCCCGGAUUCGGCAUCACCUCUAGGUGAUCAGCUCUGCUCCAACUGAUAGGCUUCUCAGACCAAUGCAUAAACUCCAGAGUAUCUGAUGCUACUGCAUUUAAUUCUUGCUGCUGCAACCGUCUGCUGCGUCGAUCAUCAGCCAUACUGGUGAACACUACAUAAGCUCCGUGCUCUUUUGGGUAUUCAUCUUGUACGGUGCCGACUGGCCUGGCAGCCGGGUGCUGGGGCGGUAGUGGAGGCAGCGGCCCAGCAGACGGAGGAGGAAGGAGGCCGUCUCCUUUGGCGAUUCUGGUGAGCCAGUGGCAUUUUCGGGUGGUAUGGUUUGACGGCUUCGCGCCGCUGUGGAACUUGCAGGGACCAUCUAGAGUCCGCUCGUAAGAGAAGGCCNNNNNNNNNNNNNNNNNNNNNNNNNNNNNNNNNNNNNNNNNNNNNNNNNNNNNNNNNNNNNNNNNNNNNNNNNNNNNNNNNNNNNNNNNNNNNNNNNNNNGAAGAGUGACUUGGGGCCUUGGUCCUUUGCGAAGCCUGCGUAACGCUGGCGACGCCUGUGGAGAUGGAGUUGGCUGGGCCUCAAAGUCAUCGUCAUCUUGCACUGGUGGGGUGACUUGUUGUUGGGGAGUACUCAGGGUGUCUUGUUGUUGUGGGUGAUCAGCUCAUGAUGCAUCCUGAGCAAUUGGCGUCAGAGGACAACCAAUGCUGAUAAGCUCACUGUUCGUUAGAACAGGCGAUGAUACCGUUGGGUGCUCAAUCUGAAGAAGAACUACAUCAUCUUCAACAUUGUCAUGGUGACCAAUGUCUUCAGCUACGGUGGGGUCAACAGCUGGAAUAUCUUCAACUUCAGGAACCUCUGUGGAAGCAGGCUCAUGAACUAUCAUGCGUCGUUCUUGGUGAGAAGAGUCAGGACGAGCAACCGAGAUUGGCUCGACAACAAGGGGCUCUGUGGGAGCAGCCCGAUCUUUCUUGGUUUUGCGCUUCUUCUUGGAGGGUGCAUCAUCAGAGGCUUCAGGAUUUUUCCUUUUUCUGGCUUCAGCCUCGGCAGCCCUCGUCUUCUUCAGUUCUGAAGCGGUUGACUUGACCUUUGGCUUCGAGCCGGACAUGCUGCUUGGGAAGACAAUGCGAGGCUCUUCCCGCCUUGAAUGUUUAGAUUGGUCAACCGAUGGCUUCUUCUUCUUGGCAGCCAUCCUGGGGUCGAUGCCAGGACGCCCAAGAGCCUUGCGCUUUUCAGCUUCAUUGUAGGCUUGCACACAUUUGGCAGUUGAAAGCUUCAUGCGCUCACGAGAUCCUUGGGCUUCAUCACGUUUCGUGCGAAAGGCUUCCCUGAGCUCAUGUAGCAUGAUCUUGAAGUUCUGCACAUCCUUCACACUGAGCUUGUCCAUAUGCUUCUUGAACUGAGCUUUUUCAAAAUCUAUCUUGUGCUUCAGCUCAACACUUUUCUGAGCAAGAGCUAACUCAGAAGCAAUUGCGCCUUGGAAGGAGACGCUGAGGCCAAUUGGAAGUUGUAGAUCGUCAAAACUGAGUUCUUGAUUUUCAAACCAGUCAUCAAUGAACUUGUUCAGAAUCUCAACAUCGAAGAGGGGAAGAUCAUUGAAGAUUUCAGCCUGCUGCUUGCUCUUAAUCAGCAUCUCAAGAGCGUCAUUGGUAAGAUCGUCGUCACUUGACAGAUCAAUUGCUUCAUUUUCGUUUCGUAAAAUGGCAGCAGGAGUCAGAGCAAGACUGGAGGAGUGCAUGGGCUUCUUCUUUUUCUUCGUCUCGAUCUUGGAGACACGAGAGAGAUCUUCAGACUGCACACUUGGUGCAGGUGGUGCAGUGGCCAGAGGCUUCACAAGUGAAGCUUUUGGAGCAGCAGCUGAUUUUGAAGCUUUAGCCUUCUUUUGCUUCUGUGGCUUUCGAGUAGGAGCAGGGGCUUCAUCAGUGUCGGCAUCAUCAUCAGAAUGAUCCACUUUGGCACCUUGAACGGAAAUGUGAGUGAUGAGGCCAUCAAGGUUGUAGAAGGGUCCGAUGAUAUUGGGUUCAGCAUCGCGUGUGCCGUCAGCCCGGGGAGCAGAAGGACCAGGGUUGAAGUCUAGCCCCAAUGACUUCUUAUUUUCCUUGGCCGAUGCCUUUGCGUGCUGGAAGUUGCGCUUGAAGAGUUUAUCGUCACGACACCAGAGCAGUGAUGAUUGGUCGGCAUUGUCAGGCUGUGGUCCAUGGACCAUACAUGGAUAGAAACCCUGGGCAAUAGCUUCAGCUCUGUUCUUGGGUGGAAGGAUUCGAAAGAGAAUAUCACCCCAAGGACUCUUGAUGGCAUUCUUCUCAGCAUACUCCUGGGUCACGAACUUGUAUUUAAACCAUUGUUCGGCCCAAUAUCUUCGAAUCCAUUGGAUUCGUGUCUUGCGCUGAUUGUAAUCCUCUUCUAGAUCUGUCUUGUACAACUCUGAGAGGUCAUCAGGCAAAUCUCUUGAUGUUCCCCCACGACGCUGUCUGCCACCCUUCCUUGCUGAUUUCUCUGUAGCCAUGAAGUUUAGACUAAAAGGCUUCAACACUGUCAAAGGCUUCAAAGGCUUCCGCUUGCUGGUCAGAUAGGAACUGGCUUCAGGAGAGUUAAUGUGAUGCUGUAAGAAUUUUGCAAACGAAUGCAGACUAUGAGAACCAAGGGAUUCUCCCAUGGACAUGUACCUGUGACAGCAUUAGAGACGCGAGGGAAGGGGAGAGGUCAUAUGCAUUCUUAGAAGAUUUUGAAGAUAAAUCAGUUUGAAGACAUUGACCUCAUGAUGCGAAGACAUUCACUUAUGUGUUUGAAUUUGGUUCCAGAUGUGUACGAAUCCAGGAAUAGGUACAAGUGAGGAAUCUAACUAGUUUAGAUGCAUAAGUGAAGAUGCUUGGCACAGUAUGAGAUGUAGAACUAGACAGAUCCAAGUUUGAAGUCACAGAAACCACUUUUGGUAAAAAGGAUGAAUCUAUAGGAUCAAAAAGAUGGUAAAAAGAGGGUUUUAUUUACCACACGAAGAACUGCUAGAUGGGAAGAGUAGGAGACCGAGCAGUUCAAUCCACCGUGCCCUAACUUGGCGACAGAGGACACCUAUGGCGGCGGCGGAGAGGACGAUGCCCGCGGCUGGCGUGAGGACGGCGUCGGUGAGGUCGCGGCAGCUAAGCGCUUCGUCGUCGGCGUCGUCGAAAGCUAGCGAUGGCGCUAGGGUUUUGACGAGGUGGAGAGGUGGAAGAAGGUUUUCUUGACCGUAAGGGGACAUGUAUUUAUAAGGAAGGAUGCGGCACAACGCAAUUACGCAGGUGCCCCUAGCGAUUCACAUCUGAGGAACACGUGGCUAGCAUGCAACAUACUUGGAGUUGUCCCACGUUCCCACGCCCGCCUGAACUGUCGGAUGGUCGUUCCGGCUUCUCCGGAUUUUAGGCAAUAAGGAUAGAGCAUUUAAAACAGACUCUGUAUCUUCUGCUGACAAGGACGCAGAGAAGACAUUUGACAGUUUCAACAGAAUGCAUAUGAUUUGGACAGAUAGAGUUUGAGAUAGAAAGCAUAGAUAAAUUAGGGUCCAAUCACAUUCACUUAGUUCAAAAGAUUCAACAGAAAAGACAUAGCUACAAGUGAAUGCUGUAGAGGACAGAAUACUUAUAUAUAUAUAUAUNNNNNNNNNNNNNNNNNNNNNNNNNNNNNNNNNNNNNNNNNNNNNNNNNNNNNNNNNNNNNNNNNNNNNNNNNNNNNNNNNNNNNNNNNNNNNNNNNNNNAAAGAUCUCCUUGAAGAAAACUGUGAAAUUCAUCAAGGAGAUAGGUGAUGCGCGCAUCGCGGUUGCUACGGAAGAGCGAGCGGAGCGAGCGCCAUAUGGUGUACGCUGAGUUCUUGCGCUCCUGGACGAUCUCCAAGGUUGAGGGCGUCACGGUGGCGUUAUACCACGAGAGGACGGCGAAGUCGUUGAGCGCCCAGUCGGAUGUAGCCUGCGCCGGCGAGCCGUCGACAUGAUCGGUGAGGCCGAACUUGGCGAGGGCGGAGAGAAACUGACGGCGCCAGAGGCCGUAGUUUUCUUUCUCGUAGUCGAGGGUGAUGAGAACGUGGUCCCGGAUGCGAAGGCUUUGGACCUGAAGAGUGGGCAGGGUUUGGGUGGCAACCGGGAGAUCAAACGGCUCGUCGGAGGAGGAGUCGCCGGUGGAAGAGUUGGAGGAGGAGGAGCUCAUGGCGUGGGAAGGGUGGGGCAGCGGAAGAAACGGAUCUCAAUUAAACUGAUACCAUGUUGGAGCCAGAGCGAGAUAUAGAGAGAGAGGGCGUGCAACAGCUCUUGUAUUCAUCAUCUGGUGUUACACUGGUUUAUAUAUGUACAGCUCAACUGACUCAACCGAUGCUAGGCUAAAAACUAGGCAUGCACAGAGGACACGAACACACGUUCGCUAACAGAAUGCACCGUGGUGUCACCGGCCCUCGACGACGGUGAGGGUGAUUUCAUUGACGGUGCAGCUCAAGGAGCAGUCGCCGUCGGUGGAGGUUGAUCCCCGGUCGCUGCAGUAGCCCGGGUGCCUAGGCUGUGGCAUCAACGCGCUCAGGUUGGCCAGCAUCAGAAACACCGUGGCCAUGUGCGGCCGGUCCUCCGGCCGUUCCUGCACGCACAGCAGCCCGACCUGCACGCACCGCAGCACCUCCUCCGACUCCCGGUCGCCGCCGCUGGCCACCGCCUCGUCUAGCAGCCCCAGCGCGUUGCCCUCCCUCCACAGCUUCCAUGCCUGCCCAGCCAUGCACACAUCACACUCACGUUACCACCAUCUCUUUCUCAUCAACAGAGCGACCGAUUAGUUCUGGAUGACUCACGUGGCUGAGCAGGCUCGUCUGCUCGCCGCUGCUGUACAUUCCCCGGUUCUUCCUGCCGCUGACGAUCUCGAGCACCAGCACGCCGAAGCUGAACACGUCGGACUUCACCGAGAAGACGCCGUCCAUGGCGUACUCGGGGGACAUGUACCCGCUGCAUGCAUGCACACGAGCGCGUCGGUCAGCUCGCCGUUGCAUCGAAAACAUAAAACCGACGGCGCCGAAUGCGACGGCCUUCACUUACUAUGUCCCGACGACCCUUCGGGUGUGUGAGUCGGCGCCGUCGCCACCGAAGAUCCUGGCGACGCCGAAGUCGGAGAUCUUGGGGUUCAUGUCGCCGUCGAGGAGGAUGUUGCCGGCCUUGAGGUCCCGGUGGAUGACCUUGAACCUCGAGUCCUGGUGCAGGUACAGGAGCCCCCGUGCGACGCCCAGUACGAUGUCAAACCGCUUCGGCCAGUCCAGUUGCGCCGAUCGAGCCUUAUCUGCUUAAACACAUCAUUUCAUGAUUUUCAUCUGUAAAUUCACGGCAACAACUUAAAUCCACAACGUGUGUAGAUGGACAGGUUUGACGUACCGAAGAGGAGCAUGUCCAGGCUCUUGUUCUCCAUGUACUCGUACACCAGGAUCCUCUCCUCUCCAUGGACGCAGCAGCCCAAGAGCCUGACGAGGUUCACGUGCUGGAGCUUGGCGAUGAGCACCACCUCGUUCUUGAACUCGUCCAGGCCCUGCGUCGAGUACUUGGACAGCCGUUUCACCGCCACCUUCUGCCCUCCCCCAAGCUCACCCUGCAUCGAUCCAACCAUUUGUUUUGCAGCAGUUGUUAUCACUUUCUUGCCUCAGAUCGAUCAAUCGAUCGAUGCCGCGAAAUGUUGCAAUGUUUACCUUGUAGACGGCGCCGAAACCGCCUUCGCCGAGCUUGGCCGCCGCCGCGAAGUUGUCGGUGGAGGAGGCAAUCGUGGCCAUGUCAAAGAGAGUGACAUCAUGCAGUCCUUUGCUCUGACUCGAGUCCUCUUCCAUGCUCCUGUCUUGGACUGGAGCAAGAGGGUUGCUCGAGUCGAAUGAGGUGAGCGGUCGUGUGCUCUGGGACCUCCCUGCAGGUUUGCAGAAAGUAAAAUUUACCUUCCUUGUGUAUAAAAAUACUCGUAGAAAAUACUAGUUUAGAUUUAGGCGCACCUUUGUUUCUGAAGAACUUAGUCCACAGAAAGAAUACGCCGAUGCCGAGAAGAAGAAGACCGGAUAAGCUGAGGACAACAGCAAGUGCUGUGUUUCUCCUGCUGGGAUUGUCUCCAUUGGAAGCUGUCAAGGUCACCGUGGAAAGGUUAGCAAGUCACUAAGUCCCUGUUUGGAUUCUCGUUUUCCAUCUGAAUACCCUUGUAAAAUAUACAGGUCUCCGCCGGUCGUUUUGGUUUCGAGCUGAAAAUAGCUCUAGACCGGUAAGUUACACCCGGAAGUUAAAUACACCUGUAUCGAAUUACAACCAUACCAAGCGCGGCCUAAGUGGUAUUCUGCAUUUCAGUUUUCUGGAUUGAAUUUGUGCAUCAACGACUAAGGACUGAAUGAUGUUGCUCUGAAAGCAAGAAACCCCCCUCAAGUUCUCUGUCUCGGUAUUGACCAAUGAUCAUGACUGACUGGAAACAGUAUUUUGACAACCGAGGAUUUGCAGUAUGUUACUCUGCUCGGAUGUAAAAUUUGAACUAUAUUUAUCCAUACAAAACUUGUAGGUAUUGCUCUAACUUUUGAUUUAUGUUUGUGGUAUUUCUCUUAUAUUGUCCUAACCUGAGAAGCAAUAAAAAUGGAGGGGCAAGGGGAUCCAUCCUAAUUACUCGCCACUUUGUCAGUGAAAGCAACAACUGAACACCAUUGUUUCAUGGGAAGGAGCACUUGUCACCUCAGUUUCAGUCUAAAGAAGCAUUGCAGUCCUGCUGAUUAGGGCACCUCCAGCCGCGCCCCCAAGAAGACCUCCCCAGGCGAUUUUUUCGCGGCGGCGCCGAAAAAACGGCCCAGUCGCGCCCCAGAAACCCGAUUUUCGCUGGCUUGGACCGAAAACAGCGCCGGCGGACCCANNNNNNNNNNNNNNNNNNNNNNNNNNNNNNNNNNNNNNNNNNNNNNNNNNNNNNNNNNNNNNNNNNNNNNNNNNNNNNNNNNNNNNNNNNNNNNNNNNNNGAGUGGUACCGGCAUUGGCGGAGUUUUAUUGCAAGAAAAAUGAUCCAUUGCAUAUUUUAGUGAAAAACUCUCCGGCGCUCAACUUAACUAUCCCACAUAUGACAAAGAAUUGUAUGCUUUAGUACGUGUACUACAUGUUUGGGAACAUUAUCUUAGACCUCAUGAGUUUGUCAUCCAUACCGAUCAUGAAACGCUUAAGUACUUAAAAGGCCAAACUAAGUUGAACAAGCGACAUGCCAAAUGGAGUGAAUUUAUUGAAUCUUUCCCAUAUGUGAUCAAGUACAUUAAGGGUAAGGAAAAUGUAGUUUCCGAUGCACUUUCACGCAUAUGCACGCUUGUCACUAAACUUGAGUUGAAUGUUAUCGGCUUUGAGCACAUAAAAGACUUGUAUGCUAAUGAUCCAUCUUUUGCACCUAUUAUGCUAAAUGUUUGACGCAUACAUCUUGGGAACAAUAUUACAUCAAGGAUGGUUAUCUUAUGAGAGCUAACAAACUAUGCAUUCUCGAGUCUUCUCUUCGUUUGCUACUUUUGCAGGAGGCUCAUGAAGGUGGACUCAUGGGACACUUUGGACGUGACAAGACUUUCGCCACGCUCUCCAAGAACUACUUUUGGCCCAAGAUGUUACGCGACGUCUCACGCUUCACCACCUGAUGCUCUACAUGUCGCAAAGCUAAGUGUAAAGCUCAAUCUCAUGGUCUUUACAUGCCUCUCCCGAUUCCUUAUCAACCAUGGGAAGACAUUAGUAUGGAUUUUGUACUUGGUUUGCCUAGAACUCAAAAUGGAAAGGAUUCCGUGUUUGUCGUUGUGGACCGAUUUUCUAAGAUGGCACAUUUCAUUCCUUGCAACAAGAUAGACGAUGCUUCACAUAUUGCAAAUCUCUUUUGUAGGGAAAUCUUGCGCCUCCAUGGAGUACCAAAGACAAUUGUCUCCGACCGCGACGUCAAGUUCUUGAGCUACUUUCGGAAGACUCUAUGCGCCAAGCUCGGAAUCAAGCUCUUGUUCUCAUCCGCAUACCAUCCUCAAACCAACGGCCAAACGGAGGUGACGAACCAGACACUAUCCACUCUACUUUGCGUGUUGAUCAAGAGGAACAUCAAGGAGUGGGAGGCGUGUCUACCCAUUGCCGAGUACGCCUACAACCGUGCAAGACUUUCGACUACCGGCAAGUCCCCCUUCGAGGUCGUCUACGGCUUCAACCCGUUGUCCCCAUUGGACAUUCUACCUCUCCCUCUACAAGAGCGCACCAACAUGGAUGCGAGUGCACGAACAAGCUACAUCAAGAAGAUGCAUGAAUAUACAAGACACACCAUCGAGCGCCAAGUACAACGACUAGCGUCCAAGCUCAACAUCAACAAGCAACAAAUUAUAUUCAACAUUGGAGACCUAGUGUGGCUACACCUUCGCAAGGACCGCUUCCCCAACGAACGCAAGUCCAAGCUUCUCCCUCGAGCCGAUGGACCCUUCAAGGUGCUCGCACGCUACAACAACAACGCUUACAAGAUCGACCUCCCACGCGACAAGUACAAUGUGAGCGACAUCUUCAACGUCUCCGAUCUCUCCCCGUACCAUGGUGAUGAGGAUUUCGAUCCGAGGUCGGAUCUUUCACAAGGGGGGCGGGGAGAUGAUGCGGAGCAUCCCUUGGUCAUCCCCAUGGACCUACCAUCGCCUCACCAAGCCUCAAGAGGACCCAUGACUAGAGCAUGUGCUAGAGCUCUCGAAACCGAGGCGACUUCUCUCCUAAAUGAUAUCUCAUAUGAUCCUCUCGAGACAUGGCUACUACCUAAGUCCGAUAUACUAUGCAUGAUUAGGUGUCAAGAAGAACCUCCCGAGGAUGCACAUGAAGACGGACAAGCUGCCCACUCCAGGGAUGAAGAGAACCAGAUGAAACAGACAAGUUCAUCUUCUAGGCCCCGGACAUCCGGCCCAAGCCCCGGACAUCCGGCCCCUGGAGCAUCGCCAUCAGCAUCAGCCAAGCCGGCCAAGUCUACAGGGCCCGGACAUCCGGCGUCCAGCCCGGACAUCCGGCCUCCGCCCGGAAAUUCGGCCAAACCCUUGGAAAUCUGGCGCCACGCACCAGGAACUACAGAAACUAUCACCUCCAGUCCGGACAUCCGGCAACUUGGCCCGGACAUCCGGCGCCUCCGGAAGCCCCGGACAUCCGACCCGACGCCCGGACAUCCGGCUCCGCCUGCGUGUGAACAGUGAAGGGCCGAAGCCCAUGUACCUCUUCGCCCCCUAGACUAUAUAUACUCCUUCCCCUUCCUCUUUCUAGGUUUAGCAUUGGAUUAGCUCAUUUUGUGUGAGAGCCUUUGCUCAUCCACUUGGAUACUUCUCCUUGGAGUUCACGGCCUCUUCGGAGAAGAUCCCCAAGCGGAUUCAAGAGCCCUUUCUAGGGAAGAACAUCAAGGCCUCCUCUCGAAGAAGAACGGUUUCGUUGUAUCCUUUCCUUUGUUGAUCGUGAACCUUGUGCUACCUUAUGUGUGUGAUGAUCUAGCACUCGUGUGAUUGAUUCUAUGUCGGUUUAGUGUUUCUCUCUCGUUUUCCCCGUGUUCUCCUUUGUGAUUUCCGCGCGUUCCUCGUGUUCUCCCGUAGGAUCCCCUCCAAACGUGAAAGAUCAAUGUUCUAGGGUUCCGCCCUAUAUCAGUUCAUCUCUUGCCACGGGGAAGGGGGUGCUUGGCAGGAGGUGUCGAGGCCAUGGUUCGAGCAGCCGCCGCCGGGAUUCCCACUGCCCUUGUAUGCCCGAAUCGAGGGUCCUGAAGGCGCUGGCGCCGAGCGGCAUCACUAGAGGCACCGUCGCUGCCGGCGGAUCACGGCGGUGCGCAUCGUUCCUCCAGGAGUUCACGCCGAGGGCUCUUCUCGCGAGCUCGUGCUUCACGCCGCCAUGCCUCCUUGGACCUAGAUUCGCCUCCCUCCUUCCUUCACCUUCAAGAUCCCACCAAGGGGGCCUAUCGAGCUUUGGCUACAGCAUGCUGACUGCAGUACCCCUGCGACCGAAGCGGAGGUCGAGGUCGUCGCUCCGGGCAGGGUCUACCUGACCCGUGGCUGGGGCGAGAUCGCCCGGGUCUGCAGGACGGGUGGCGCCCUCGCAAUCCACCUCGAGUACGACGACGCCUCCCUAAUGUUAUUCAAGNNNNNNNNNNNNNNNNNNNNNNNNNNNNNNNNNNNNNNNNNNNNNNNNNNNNNNNNNNNNNNNNNNNNNNNNNNNNNNNNNNNNNNNNNNNNNNNNNNNNGGCCGAUUCUGGCCCGUUUCGUGGACUAUUACUGACCGUUUUGGGGUCCCGAAGCGAUUUUCUUGGUUUAUGGACCCCAAGGUGCGCUUACGUGCAUGACAUUAACACUCGCCAUUUUGGCCGAUUCUGGCCCAUUUCGUGGACUAUUAGUCACCGUUUUGGGAUCCCAGAGCGACUUUUAUGGUUGCUGAACCCCAAGGUGCGCUUAUGUAUCGUUCAUCAGCACUCACCUCUUUGAUGAUUCUGACCCGUUUCAUAGACUAGUACUCACCGUUUUGGGUUAAGGAGCAAAUUCCAUGGUUACUGAACCCCGAGGUGCGCUUACGUGCAGGUCAUUAACACUCGCUGUUUUGGCCGAUUCUGGCCCGUUUCGUGGACUACUACUCACCAAUUUGGGGUCCCAGAGCGAUUUUUAUGGUUGCCAAAGCCCAAGGUGUGCUUAUGUGUCGUUCAUCAACAAUCGCCAUUUUGGCCGAUUCUGGCCCGUUUCAUGGGCUAUUACUCAUUGAUUUGGGGUUUCGGAGCGAUUUUAUGGUUACUGAACCCUAAUGUGUGCUUACGUGUAGGUCAUUUACACUCACAAUUUUCGCUGAUUCUGGCCCGUUUCGUGGACUAUUAAUCACCAUUUUGGGGUCCCGAAGCGAUUUUAAUGGUUGCUAAACCCCAAGAAGCGCUUACGUGUCAUUCAUCAACACUCUCCGUUUUGCCCGAUUCUGUCCCGUUUCAUGGGCUGUUACUCACCAUUUUGGUGUCCCUGUGCGAUUUCCUUGCUUGUUGAACUACAAGGUCCUAUUACGUGCUUACGUGCAGGUCAUUGACACUCGCCGUUUUGGCUAAUUUGUCCCGUCUCAUGGGCUAUUGCUCACCUUUUUGAGGUCCUGGAGCGAUUUCCACGAUUAAUGAUCCCCGAGGUGCGUUUACGUGUAGGUCAUCAACACUUGCAGUUUUGGCCGAUUUUGGCGCAUUUCGUGGACUAUUACUCACCAUUUUGAGGUCUUGGAUCGAUUUCCACGAUUGAUGAACCUCGGGGUGCAUUUACCUAUCGGUCCUCAACACUCGCAGGUUUGGCCGAUUCUGGCCCGUUUCGUGGACUAUUACUGACCGUUUUGGUGUCCCGAAGCGAUUUUCUUGGUUUAUGGACCCCAAGGUGCGCUUACGUGCAUGACAUUAACACUCGCCAUUUUGGCCGAUUCUGGCCCAUUUCGUGGACUAUUAGUCACCGUUUUGGGAUCCCAGAGCGACUUUUAUGGUUGCUGAACCCCAAGGUGCGCUUAUGUAUCGUUCAUCAGCACUCACCUCUUUGAUGAUUCUGACCCGUUUCAUAGACUAGUACUCACCGUUUUGGGUUAAGGAGCAAAUUCCAUGGUUACUGAACCCCGAGGUGCGCUUACGUGCAGGUCAUUAACACUCGCUGUUUUGGCCGAUUCUGGCCCGUUUCGUGGACUACUACUCACCAAUUUGGGGUCCCAGAGCGAUUUUUAUGGUUGCCGAAGCCCAAGGUGUGAUUACGUGUCGUUCAUCAACAAUCGCCAUUUUGGCCGAUUCUGGCCCGUUUCAUGGGCUAUUACUCAUUGAUUUGGGGUUUCGGAGCGAUUUUAUGGUUAUUGAACCCUAAUGUGUGCUUACGUGUAGGUCAUUAACACUCACAAUUUUCGCUGAUUCUGGCCCGUUUCGUGGACUAUUAAUCACCAUUUUGGGGUCCCGAAGCGAUUUUAAUGGUUGCUGAACCCCAAGAAGCGCUUACGUGUCAUUCAUCAACACUCUCCAUUUUGCCCGAUUCUGUCCCGUUUCAUGGGCUAUUACUCACCAUUUUCGUGUCCCUGUGCGAUUUCCUUGCUUGUUGAACUACAAGGUCCUAUUACGUGCUUACGUGCAGGUCAUCGACACUCGCCGUUUUGGCUAAUUCGUCCCGUCUCAUGGGCUAUUGCUCACCUUUUUGAGGUCCUGGAGCGAUUUCCACGAUUAAUGAUCCCCGAGGUGCGUUUACGUGUAGGUCAUCAACACUUGCAGUUUUGGCCGAUUUUGGCGCAUUUCAUGGACUAUUACUCACCAUUUUGAGGUCUUGGAGCGAUUUCCACGAUUGAUGAAACUCGGGGUGCAUUUACCUAUCGGUCAUCAACACUCGCAAGUUUGGCCGAUUCUGGCCCGUUUCGUGGACUAUUACUGACCGUUUUGGGGUCCCGAAGCGAUUUUCUUGGUUUAUGGACCCCAAGGUGCGCUUGCGUGCAUGACAUUAACACUCGCCAUUUUGGCCGAUUCUGGCCCAUUUCGUGGACUAUUAGUCACCGUUUUGGGAUCCCAGAGCGACUUUUAUGGUUGCUGAACCCCAAGGUGCGCUUAUGUAUCGUUCAUCAGCACUCACCUCUUUGAUGAUUCUGACCCGUUUCAUAGACUAGUACUCACCGUUUUGGGGUAAGGAGCAAAUUCCAUGGUUUCUGAACCCCGAGGUGCGCUUACGUGCAGGUCAUUAACACUCGCUGUUUUGGCCGAUUCUGGCCCGUUUCGUGGACUACUACUCACCAAUUUGGGGUCCCAGAGCGAUUUUUAUGGUUUCCAAAGCCCAAGGUGUGCUUAUGUGUCGUUCAUCAACAAUCGCCAUUUUGGCCGAUUCUGGCCCGUUUCAUGGGCAACUCAUUGAUUUGGGGUUUCGGAGCGAUUUUAUGGUUACUGAACCCUAAUGUGUGCUUACGUGUAGGUCAUUUACACUCACAAUUUUCGCUGAUUCUGGCCCGUUUCGUGGACUAUUAAUCACCAUUUUGGGGUCCCGAAGCGAUUUUAAUGGUUGCUAAACCCCAAGAAGCGCUUACGUGUCAUUCAUCAACACUCUCCGUUUUGCCCGAUUCUGUCCCGUUUCAUGGGCUGUUACUCACCAUUUUGGUGUCCCUGUGCGAUUUCCUUGCUUGUUGAACUACAAGGUCCUAUUACGUGCUUACGUGCAGGUCAUUGACACUCGCCGUUUUGGCUAAUUCGUCCCGUCUCAUGGGCUAUUGCUCACCUUUUUGAGGUCCUGGAGCGAUUUCCACGAUUAAUGAUCCCCGAGGUGCGUUUACGUGUAGGUCAUCAACACUUGCAGUUUUGGCCGAUUUUGGCGCAUUUCGUGGACUAUUACUCACCAUUUUGAGGUCUUGGANNNNNNNNNNNNNNNNNNNNNNNNNNNNNNNNNNNNNNNNNNNNNNNNNNNNNNNNNNNNNNNNNNNNNNNNNNNNNNNNNNNNNNNNNNNNNNNNNNNNUGCAGCACUCCCGAGAAAUGGAGCCCGACCACUCCGAUCCACGGAGGCGGAGGCGGAGGUGGAGGCGGUCUUGGCGGUAGCGCUGCCUCUAGCAGUGACGACCUGGGCUUCGGCGGUCUUGGUGGUGACGACCUCCGCGGUGCUCGACGUCCUGGCGCUUAAGCCUUUCGGCUACUUGUGUGCUUAUGCUUAUGUUUCUUUAGAUGACUUGUGUGUGGUGAUGAUCCUUUAGAUGACUUGUGUGCUUCUCUAUAUGCUUAUGCUUAUGAUUGUGAUGAUGCUUAUGCAUAUAUUGUUGUGAUGGUGCCGGAUGAUAUCCUGAUGUGUUCUGUAUGUCUAUUUCCAUCAUAUAUAUAUCUGCUGAUAUGUGUUGUAUAUUUGAAUUGAAUCGAUUUGAAAACAAACAGAAAAAACAAAAAAACAAAUGCAAACUAUGCCGACGGCUAGGCCGUCGGCAUAGGGCUGGCAUGAGCUACCAGUUGCUGACAUGUGGCAUCUAUGUCGACGGCCUAGCCGUCGGCAUAGUUUUUCAACUAAGCCGACCGCUAGGCCAUCGGCAUAGAUGCCACGUGUCAGCACCUUGUAGCUCUUGAGGAAGGGAUAUGCCGAUGACCUAGCCGUCGACAUAAGUUGACACUAUGCCGCCGGCUAGGCCGUCGGCAUAUCCCUGGCCCAUGAGUAACAGCUGGACCCCACGGGGCAUACCUAUGCCGACGGCCUAACCGUCGGCAUAGUUUGAAACUAAGCCGUCAGAAUAGGUGUGCCAUGUGGCGACCAGACAUUGGUCACACUUGACGGCGGCCGUCGUUAGGCGUGAAUGUUGCCGACGGCCAGGGCCGUCGGCAUAGAUAUACGGCCCCCGUUGGGAAAGCUACUAUGCCGACGGCCUUUCUAUGCCGACGGCCUCCCGGGCUACGCCGACUUAUAUGUUGCCGACGGCCCUAUGCCAACGGGGGCCGUCGGCAUAGGUAUGUCCCGACGGGAUUCAUGGAUAUGCCGACGGCCCUGGCCAUCGGCAUAGGGGGCGAUUCUGGUAGUGAUGCAGACCAACUUUUUCUACAGUUUACUCUUGCAAUACUUAGUAUGAGGUAGGGAUUAUCCUAGGCUGGACACGUCGGUAGCCCUUCAAUGUCCCAUGCGACCUGUUUCAAUCGUUGCUCCAUAGCAGGUUCUCCCUGAUUCCUCCAUUCCCAGUCAUACCCUACUAUGUUGCUUCUCAGUUGUUCGAUUAUCCUAUGAGCCACAUGGUGGUAACAGUUUUAAGGUUGAUUAGCGCAAACCACAAUAAAACAGACCAUUACUCUAUAUGUGGGCAUAGGUUUAUACAUUUUUUACUUAUCCUGACCUUUCUCAGCCUUUUAAAUAAGGUUUUGCAUUUGGAUAUAUAGUUUUGCAUAUGUGUGUGCUAUUAUACAAUUUUCUUUGUCUGGAAGCUACUUUUUGGUGUAAUUUUAUCUAUGUUUGUUUGCAGUUAACAAGAUUCAGUUAAACUGCCCAGCAUCCAACAUUUCACGUGUUCAACUUGCACAUCGUUUUCAACAUGCUUAUUUGGGUAUUAAUUUAACAGUUAUUAUUGUUAUACUUAUGCAGCUAUGUAAUCAAGUUCGGAGUCGGUUGUACUUGUUGUUUGUUCUGAAUGCAGAUGAAUGUGUUACCAAUUAUCAAUAAGAUUGAUGUUUGAUCUUUUGUUCCAAUUAGCAGCAAACAAAAUUAUCAGCAUUGUUAAUGACAGUAGCUGCAUAGCAAGGUUUUUAAAAGUUUAGCUGCCAAUAGUUGGAUGCUACUGUCCUAUUUGAACAUGAUCACAAGAGUAUGACGUGAUACAUGCACACACUUGGAUGAGCAUAGUUUUACAAUAAUCAGCUAGCGUAUUUUGUAGCAUCAAUUGUACCAUCUGUAAAUUUCAAGAAUUACCUGUACCAUCUGUAAAUUUCAAGAAUUACCUAUAUGAAAUCUACAAUAUUAUUGUAUGAAAUCUAUGGUAUUAUUAAUUCAAAUUGUCAUCUUUGUUAUGUAUAUCUUGCUAUGAAAAUCCAUGAAAAAAUCAUGCAACAACACAGGUAUAAUCAUCUAGUUUCUGUAGUUAUUCACCCUGCUAAAUUGUCAUUUGGUCAUUAGGUGUGGUCUUUUGUUUCGGAGCACCAACAUUCACUUGUCUAGGUAUGUGGAAACAUGUUAUAUUUGUAAGAACAAGUAAUACAUAUUGCCAUGAGAUUGUUCUACGACCAAGUGAAUUUCUUGAUGCGUGUUUGUAUACAUGACAUUAUUCUAUAAAUUUGGUCGAACUUUAUGAAAUUUGACUUCAGACAUAUCUUAUAGGCGGAGUAAUAAGUAACCGGGUGAAUAUGUUUUAUGUGGAGUUGAACUUCCUCUAUGAUUUGACCAAACUCCGCCACCAUGCCCCCAACUCAUCUUUGGAGACGUAUCAUGUUCUUGUUUCGAUGAUUCUAUGGUUUUAUUUGAAGAUUUUUUGCCAUAGAAAAGUUGGAAUACAGUAGAUAUAAUGCAAACAUAAAAUAUGAAUGGGUUUGCAACAGUACUUAUAGUAGUGAUUUGCUUUCUUGUACUAACGAAUCUCACGAAGGUUUUGUUGAGUUUUGUGUGAUGAAGUUUUCAAGUUUUGGGUGAUCUUACGAUGGAUGAAGGAAUAAGGAUUAGCAAAAGGCUAAGCUUGGGGAUGCCCGAGGCACCCCAAGAUAAUAUUCAAGAAGUAGCAAGCAACUAAGCUUGGGGAUGCCCCCGAGUGGCAUCCCUUCUUUCACCUCGCCAACCAUUUGUUGACCACAGCCCCACCACAUUCUACUUCAAGGCCCAUGAUUACCUCAAUCUAGUUUCGGUCUUAUUAAAUGGCCUUUUACCUAGAGAUUGUCGUUUAUCAACCCGGUAAGGCAUCAUAUCGAUACUAGGGUUUCUCCUUAUUCCCAAGAAUUACAAAACUACUCAGACAUGGGGAAACAACGCAUCAUAGAGGUAAUCAUAAUAGCGAGUGAAUGAUUAAAGUGACACACGUACGGAUCUACAAUAGGUUUUUGGAUUAUAAUGAGAUGGAUGAGAGAGUCGAUGGCGAUGGCGAUGGCGUGGAUGUUGAUGGAGAUGGUGAAUCUCGAUGUCUUAGCCAGCUUGAGCAAAGNNNNNNNNNNNNNNNNNNNNNNNNNNNNNNNNNNNNNNNNNNNNNNNNNNNNNNNNNNNNNNNNNNNNNNNNNNNNNNNNNNNNNNNNNNNNNNNNNNNNGAAGAGUGACUUGGGGCCUUGGUCCUUUGCGAAGCCUGCGUAACGCUGGCGACGCCUGUGGAGAUGGAGUUGGCUGGGCCUCAAAGUCAUCGUCAUCUUGCACUGGUGGGGUGACUUGUUGUUGGGGAGUACUCAGGGUGUCUUGUUGUUGUGGGUGAUCAGCUCAUGAUGCAUCCUGAGCAAUUGGCGUCAGAGGACAACCAAUGCUGAUAAGCUCACUGUUCGUUAGAACAGGCGAUGAUACCGUUGGGUGCUCAAUCUGAAGAAGAACUACAUCAUCUUCAACAUUGUCAUGGUGACCAAUGUCUUCAGCUACGGUGGGGUCAACAGCUGGAAUAUCUUCAACUUCAGGAACCUCUGUGGAAGCAGGCUCAUGAACUAUCAUGCGUCGUUCUUGGUGAGAAGAGUCAGGACGAGCAACCGAGAUUGGCUCGACAACAAGGGGCUCUGUGGGAGCAGCCCGAUCUUUCUUGGUUUUGCGCUUCUUCUUGGAGGGUGCAUCAUCAGAGGCUUCAGGAUUUUUCCUUUUUCUGGCUUCAGCCUCGGCAGCCCUCGUCUUCUUCAGUUCUGAAGCGGUUGACUUGACCUUUGGCUUCGAGCCGGACAUGCUGCUUGGGAAGACAAUGCGAGGCUCUUCCCGCCUUGAAUGUUUAGAUUGGUCAACCGAUGGCUUCUUCUUCUUGGCAGCCAUCCUGGGGUCGAUGCCAGGACGCCCAAGAGCCUUGCGCUUUUCAGCUUCAUUGUAGGCUUGCACACAUUUGGCAGUUGAAAGCUUCAUGCGCUCACGAGAUCCUUGGGCUUCAUCACGUUUCGUGCGAAAGGCUUCCCUGAGCUCAUGUAGCAUGAUCUUGAAGUUCUGCACAUCCUUCACACUGAGCUUGUCCAUAUGCUUCUUGAACUGAGCUUUUUCAAAAUCUAUCUUGUGCUUCAGCUCAACACUUUUCUGAGCAAGAGCUAACUCAGAAGCAAUUGCGCCUUGGAAGGAGACGCUGAGGCCAAUUGGAAGUUGUAGAUCGUCAAAACUGAGUUCUUGAUUUUCAAACCAGUCAUCAAUGAACUUGUUCAGAAUCUCAACAUCGAAGAGGGGAAGAUCAUUGAAGAUUUCAGCCUGCUGCUUGCUCUUAAUCAGCAUCUCAAGAGCGUCAUUGGUAAGAUCGUCGUCACUUGACAGAUCAAUUGCUUCAUUUUCGUUUCGUAAAAUGGCAGCAGGAGUCAGAGCAAGACUGGAGGAGUGCAUGGGCUUCUUCUUUUUCUUCGUCUCGAUCUUGGAGACACGAGAGAGAUCUUCAGACUGCACACUUGGUGCAGGUGGUGCAGUGGCCAGAGGCUUCACAAGUGAAGCUUUUGGAUCAGCAGCUGAUUUUGAAGCUUUAGCCUUCUUUUGCUUCUGUGGCUUUGGAGUAGGAGCAGGGGCUUCAUCAGUGUCGGCAUCAUCAUCAGAAUGAUCCACUUUGGCACCUUGAAUGGAAAUGUGAGUGAUGAGGCCAUCAAGGUUGUAGAAGGGUCCGAUGAUAUUGGGUUCAGCAUCGCGUGUGCCGUCGGCCCGGGGAGCAGAAGGACCAGGGUUGAAGUCUAGCCCCAAUGACUUCUUAUUUUCCUUGGCCGAUGCCUUUGCGUGCUGGAAGUUGCGCUUGAAGAGUUUAUCGUCACGACACCAGAGCAGUGAUGAUUGGUCGGCAUUGUCAGGCUGUGGUCCAUGGACCAUACAUGGAUAGAAACCCUGGGCAAUAGCUUCCGCUCUGUUCUUGGGUGGAAGGAUUCGAAAGAGAAUAUCACCCCAAGGACUCUUGAUGGCAUUCUUCUCAACAUACUCCUGGGUCACGAACUUGUAUUUAAACCAUUGUUCGGCCCAAUAUCUUCGAAUCCAUUGGAUUCGUGUCUUGCGCUGAUUGUAAUCCUCUUCUAGAUCUGUCUUGUACAACUCUGAGAGGUCAUCAGGCAAAUCUCUUGAUGUUCCCCCACGACGCUGUCUGCCACCCUUCCUUGCUGAUUUCUCUGUAGCCAUGAAGUUUAGACUAAAAGGCUUCAACACUGUCAAAGGCUUCAAAGGCUUCCGCUUGCUGGUCAGAUAGGAACUGGCUUCAGGAGAGUUAAUGUGAUGCUGUAAGAAUUUUGCAAACGAAUGCAGACUAUGAGAACCAAGGGAUUCUCCCAUGGACAUGUACCUGUGACAGCAUUAGAGACGCGAGGGAAGGGGAGAGGUCAUAUGCAUUCUUAGAAGAUUUUGAAGAUAAAUCAGUUUGAAGACAUUGACCUCAUGAUGCGAAGACAUUCACUUAUGUGUUUGAAUUUGGUUCCAGAUGUGUACGAAUCCAGGAAUAGGUACAAGUGAGGAAUCUAACUAGUUUAGAUGCAUAAGUGAAGAUGCUUGGCACAGUAUGAGAUGUAGAACUAGACAGAUCCAAGUUUGAAGUCACAGAAACCACUUUUGGUAAAAAGGAUGAAUCUAUAGGAUCAAAAAGAUGGUAAAAAGAGGGUUUUAUUUACCACACGAAGAACUGCUAGAUGGGAAGAGUAGGAGACCGAGCAGUUCAAUCCACCGUGCCCUAACUUGGCGACAGAGGACACCUAUGGCGGCGGCGGAGAGGACGAUGCCCGCGGCUGGCGUGAGGACGGCGUCGGUGAGGUCGCGGCAGCUAAGCGCUUCGUCGUCGGCGUCGUCGAAAGCUAGCGAUGGCGCUAGGGUUUUGACGAGGUGGAGAGGUGGAAGAAGGUUUUCUUGACCGUAAGGGGACAUGUAUUUAUAAGGAAGGAUGCGGCACAACGCAAUUACGCAGGUGCCCCUAGCGAUUCACAUCUGAGGAACACGUGGCUAGCAUGCAACAUACUUGGAGUUGUCCCACGUUCCCACGCCCGCCUGAACUGUCGGAUGGUCGUUCCGGCUUCUCCGGAUUUUAGGCAAUAAGGAUAGAGCAUUUAAAACAGACUCUGUAUCUUCUGCUGACAAGGACGCAGAGAAGACAUUUGACAGUUUCAACAGAAUGCAUAUGAUUUGGACAGAUAGAGUUUGAGAUAGAAAGCAUAGAUAAAUUAGGGUCCAAUCACAUUCACUUAGUUCAAAAGAUUCAACAGAAAAGACAUAGCUACAAGUGAAUGCUGUAGAGGACAGAAUACUUAUAUAUAUAUAUAUNNNNNNNNNNNNNNNNNNNNNNNNNNNNNNNNNNNNNNNNNNNNNNNNNNNNNNNNNNNNNNNNNNNNNNNNNNNNNNNNNNNNNNNNNNNNNNNNNNNNUCCGGUUGGAUGUCGUAAUUUGCGGUCGCCGGUCGGUCUGCGGGCGGCUCGGGCGGCGUUGUGGGACAAAAAAACACAGCUCGUGCGAGCUCGUCUCCAACAUGCGCGCUGGAGGAUGCAUGAUAGCAUGAGCACCCGAGCCAUUCCUCAUUCAUUGGUGGCAAAGGCAUCGGUGGACAAAAGGGUCGCCAAUAUUUUGGCUACCCUUGGCAAGAUCCAAACAGCCCCUCCCAACAGAUUCAAAUCCCUCGUUCGCCAUGGAAUUUUGCCAUGUGUUGUUUUCAUGGACUAGCAAGAUGCCCGUGCAUUGCACGGAACAUCAAGAUACAUUUUUUUACAAACUCCUGCAUGCAUGCAAGGGAUAAUUAAUGUCCUCCUUUGCUAGUACCACGAGGCAAACACCAUUAAUAUUGCAUCAAUUAGUGUUAGUGGCCUUGUAUAUCUGCAAAUUGUAAUUUUGAUAGUGGCCCUUGUAUAUAAAAAUGGAGGGAGAAAGAUGAGAGAUAAGGUGAGGAGGAGUGGGGCGUGGUGGUGACUGGUGGUCGGACUGGGCGGAGGCAUGGGGAUGGACGAUGCAUUAUGUCUAGAUUUGUAUCUCUCUCACACACACUACGUAGGUGGGGGACGUGCACGAAGAGAAGAGGUGCACGCACGACGCACGUACUCCUGUCUCUUUCCCAACCACACCCGUGGGUACACGGUGGAGCUCAUUUCUGUACGAAAAAGGCAGCCCACGUGGUAAUUUGUCACGUGUACUGGUUGUCCACUUGGUGGAGGGAGGAUCGUCUACCACAGGUGAACAAACAAAUUGCGACUUGACGUGUUAUGUUAAAAAAAGAGACAAACCAUGUGGGGCCUACCUUAGAGGCAAGGCUCUAUACACUGGAGUACUUUUGAUGUGUCCCGUCAACUCGCAGAAUGAGGAGAAGCUUACUUAGUAUGCCGUCUCCCCCACCCACGGGCGUGGUGGCUCACAGGAUGAGGCGAAGCUUGCUUACGAGUAGUAGUAGUAGUACUCCUACUACUGUAGGCCUUACGCCCGCUCCCUCGCCCACGCGCGGGGUGGCUCGCAACACGAGGAGAAAAUUUUACUCCCUCCGUCUAGGUGAGUAAGUCAUCUUACGUUGUGCACCGUGACCAAGGAGGAGGAGAAAAUGAGAGAACUUAAUGUUCAUUUGCUAAUUAAUAGCAUUGCAUGCAAUGAACUAACCACUGCAUGUCGUGUUUGGUAGUCUCAAGCCAUUAAAAGCAUGCACACCCCACAUCUCUUAUUGGUUGAUAUGUCAAGAAACAAGAACGAGGUAGAAUUUAAUGCACCGCGCCUAAGUGUUUUUGGAUUAUUUGGUUUUCGUAAGACGACCACACACCUAGACGGAGGGAGUACUACUCCCUCCGUUUACUCCUCGUCCCUACUACGUACCUUGGUUAGUACUCCCUCCAUUUACUUAUACAAGGCCACUAUAAAAAAUACAUUUUGCAUCUAUACAAGGCCACAAAUAGUAAUUGAGACAAAAGUUACUACUCCCUCCUUUCCAGUUUAUGGCUCAAUUUCAAAAUCUCUCCAACCAAGGUAGACGGUGAGUGGUCGGAUUAAUUUCAUAGUUUGCAUAAGUAAUUAGUACGCUCAUUUUUCUCAAGAAGUUAUGUUUACCAAGGCAUUAAUUAGAACAAAUGCAUUAAUGACCACUAAAUUUCCAUGAACUUGUACAUGCAUUGGUUAGUUUCCUCUUGACACUGCUUGUGUCGGGUGAUCUAACGCACCUCAAAAUCCAACAUGUAAUGGUACUACUACUAGUAUAGUAGAAUUGAGACUUAUCAAACGGAAAAACGGAUGUUUUUUAGAUGAGCCCUAUAAACCCUAGUGGGUACGUACUCUGUAAAAACAGAUUUUUUCCUAAACUAAGUCACUCCCUUUCAUGAAUUCUGUAGUAUACUCCUCCGUCGACGCUCCCUUUCAUGAAUUAUGUACUUCCUGUCGCCGACAUGUGGGACAUAUAGCAACUGGGUCGACGUGUCAAGCACCAAAUAACAGUGCAGAACAGCAGGGGGGACGUACCCCACUCGUACCGGCCCAGUAGUAGUAAUGAGCAAUGAGACAUCAAAUCACAAUGCCACACCUUCCCAGACGGACGAAGCAACCAUUAUUUCACACUUCGGUUCGCCAUCAUCUCAAACCACGUAGUAUUGCUUCUGCCUCAAGAGGGACACGCGCAUCGCCUUGGUACAUCAUGACACGUGGGACCGCAUGACAGGCCAUGCUCCCCCACCGAUCGCUCGGUAAAAUCACCUCAUUUUUACUAUACUUCCUCCGUAUCGGUUUACUACAUGGCAUGCACGUCGUUCUAGGUUGAGAAUUUAACUGGCUAUAUAUGUGAUGAACAGUACUCCAGCCUUUUAAAAAUUGUAUACUUUUGUACAGCAGUACUAUCGAUGGAUUGCGCCGUGGAGCAAAAAUUGAAAUUAAAAAAAGGUGGUACAUAUAGAGAGCGCUCGUCGCCAAAUUAUGCAUAUAGUACUAUUAAAAAAGCUAGUACGUGCUUAAUUGGGGUGCUAAAUUAUAUUAAAGAAAUACUAGUAGUAUGUAUCAUACUGAGGAGUUAAAGUAACAAGAAGAAACAUAACAUAGUUCUGCUGGGGCUCAGCACAACACACCCCUCAAAUUCAACUAAGCACACCUAAAAUUAAACUAUGCAACUAAUCUGAUAGACACUGCAUUAGAACCACCAUGAGCAAUGAUACUGACACCUUACUCACUCGGAGGAGUCCUCGUCCACGUCCUCGACUUCGUCCUUGUCCCUCUUCCUCUUGGCCGAUACUUCUUUGCUUGAACCGCACACUUGUCUCUUGCUCUUCAUCCAACCCUUGUAGAUAUUGAAACAAAGGUAGCCAUCCAUUGCAGUGUAGUGGAUGUGGUCUAUAUCUAGUACAUUCCGCUGCCAUGCAUAACGAUGAAAUGUGUAUGGAGGUUUCUCCAGUUUACCUUAUGAAGGAUGAACCAUGGCUCCUGCCAGGGUCAGCAUUGAAGGCUGACGAGAGGAUACCAGCCAAUUCUUCUGGAGGUCGAAGGUGUUGCCUACAACGAGGCCUAUCCGAACCAGGACUUCUUUGUUGUUACCAAAGUCUACAGUAANNNNNNNNNNNNNNNNNNNNNNNNNNNNNNNNNNNNNNNNNNNNNNNNNNNNNNNNNNNNNNNNNNNNNNNNNNNNNNNNNNNNNNNNNNNNNNNNNNNNCCAUUGAUAGCCUAUCAAUGCUGCUGGAUUCUGUCAAGAUCAUAUAUAUCAGAAUGUAUAGUUUUGAUCUGGACAUAAUUAUUGUCUUGCUGCGAUGCUUUCGAUCUCUGGAGAAUUUAUACAUAGAGGUGAUGAUUUCAUGCACAUUGAAAGCCCGUAUAUAUUGUACUAGAAUUAACUAUUCAGCUGUCGUUCUUUCGACAUACUCUUUUUUCAGACCUUAACUGUUCGCAAUCUUCAUGUCUACUUAGGCAGAACCACAUGGAGAAAAACAUAUAACCAAUCGUUGGCAUAAUAAGCACAAGGAUUUUCUUAGUUCUCAUGACAUUCGUUUGAGGACAAUAACGAUGGGAUGAUAUGCAUCCAACCAGGCAAACAGAAGCUUUGUCACAUUCUUCCUAUUGAACGCGAGGUUACUAUUGUCCAUGAGGCUUAAUUUUUACAGCAAGAGAUUUCUCAUGGACGAACAUGUUGAAUAGCAAAAAAAAAGUUUCAAGUGGACAAAUGGGCUUCUGAACGUGCUCGGCUUCUAUUUACAAUAAGUUGUAGACAUCCUGAAAUAAAUUGUUUUGCACAGGAUGUUGAUUUUAUGGAUCAUGCCAAUCCAUUUGUUUGUGACUGCAAAAAAGAGUGGUUGGGUUAGAUGUUACUGUAAUGUUCAAUCUGGGUUUUGUCUAAAAAUUUGAUGAACAAUUAAUCCUUGGGCUUUUUGUACCAUUUGUAUGCUUGACUUGCAUGUUGUUGCCCUCGUACUCCCCUCCACCUGCCACUACAUUGUCGCAUCUUCCAUGGCUGCUGUUCGUUCCCGUCCGAGGCCUUGCUGUCGUUCUCCGCCUUGGUUAGCUCGCUAUGCCCACCGCCGUCUGGCAUUUUCAACAUGGUCAACAACCAAGAGGAGUCAGGAGAUGACUGUACGUGGAGAGGCUGACAGUAGGGACCCACCAGGGUCAUUGCAUUUCGCAAGCAGGUGCCUUGUUAUUACAAGCCAAAAAAACACUUCCUCCUAAUUGUUUGACAACUAGGUUCCACGCCAUUGUCAAUGUAGUCAAUAAAUGAGAAAAUUACACAACGAGCGGAUAACACCAGGGACACAGCAGCUUGCCCAGUUGUUUUUCAGUUUCAGAGACGGAGCUCAACUGCGCGCUGUGUGGGGGUUGUGGCCCGUCUAGCACACGCUUACGAUUUUAUUAAGCACAUGACGAGCCCAGUUGAUAUAUUUUUUCUUUCUGAAAUUGGCUAGCCAAGUUCUUUUUUUCGGAGAAUUCCAAAACCGAGGCCUACUUGCUUUUCCCAGCCCUGCUGGGCUGCAAAUCUUUCAAGACGAGGAGGGAUGUAAGUAGUAAGAAAUGGGCUUCCCCAAAAAAACGGGCUAUAAGUUGUAAGAAAUGGGCUAUAAAUUUUUAAACCAAAGCCAACCGGCAAUUGCAUUAAAAUAUCAUUUUUUUAGGAUUUCUCUACUCUCUACUCUUAUAAAAACCAAAGCCAACUGGCAAUUACAUUAAAAUAUCAUCUUUUCUCCCAGAAGAUAAACUACUCAUACAAAAGCAUCUUCAUGUUCUGUGCAACAAACGGGCAUCUUGCUAGUUAAGAUUCUAAAUUUCAUUCAUUUUUUUUGCGGAGAAUUGUUUUUUGAAUUUUAUUUUCAUAUAAUUUUUUGAAAAUUAUUUUUAACCUGACUCAAAAUUUCGUGAUUAAAAGAGUUCGGACCCCACCGAAAUAUGCAAAAUUUCAUUGAAUUUUUUAGCAGUGCCCAGAAUAUAUGGUCUGUAAUGCUAAUAAAAAUAACAUGGGCUUCAAAUAUCCUUAAGAAUUAGCAAAUGGGCUGUAAAUUAUUGAAAAUAAUGGCUAAUGUGAUGUAUGCUAUUUUCUACAGAUUUGGAGGCUGACUUCUGGGCCUACUAGGUUGACAAUGACGUUGUCCUAAAAAAAAUUUGACGCGUAUGCAAGGCUUUGUCAACUUAGUCAACACACAGCAGUGACUGUUGGAUGUCCAUCCAAUAGCCGCCGUGCUUCUUCAAUCUCUGAUCUUCUUGCUCCAGCCGCCCAAACAAGCGCUGGUGGGACUGCCUGCUCCCUCCUCCUAUGGCUCGCUGUGCUGCCGCCAGGCUAUCCCUCUAACCACCCACACAUCCUGUUAUUUUCCGGCGACGUCAGCCUCACCCCAUAGCCGACCAGUCAGCGCUCGUUCUCCCCUCAGCUUGGUCAUCCGCUGCGGUGGCUUUGCCGUCUCUGGGUGGUUCUCUUCCUGGGCCUCACCCUCGUCCAUCGCGUUUGUGCUCUCGGCACGGAGAGGUCAACAUGGUCAACAAACAACAACCAUCGGAAGAGGCUAACAGUAGGGGCCCACACUGGAAAAUGCCUCCUUAUUACGCGCAAAAUAAUGAUUCCUCCACCUGAUAGCUGGGACCCAUUGGAAGGGUCUCUGUAUUUCGUGAAAAAAACGUUCCCCCCGCUGUCAGCUCGGACCCACCGGAAAUGCCUCCUUAUUAUGCACAAAAAAAUGAAUACUCCCCCAGCUAGCUGGGACUCACCUUGGUGGGAGGCUGACUUUUGGGCCUACUAAGUUUACGGGGACGGAGGGCUUUGUCAACUUAGUCAAUAUGAACGAUUCUAGCUCCAGUGACCGUACAAUGCCCAUCCAACGGCCGUAGUGCUUCUUCAACCUCUGGUCUUCGUGCUCCAGCCGCCCAAAGCAGCGCCGGUCGUGCCGCAUGCUCCCGCCUCCCGUGGCCGGCUAUGAUGCCGCAGAGGCCUCACCUUCCCCUACUACUCCCACCGCUGGCCAGGCCAUCCCUCUACUCACCCACACCCCCUGUUAUUCUGCGGAGACGGCAGCCUCACACCGCAGCCGAACCAGUGAACCCUCGUACUCCUCUUUCGCGUGGGCAUCCACUGCUGCGUCUUCCCCGGCUCUGCGUCAUCCCCUUCCUAGGCCUCAUCGUCGUCCACCGCCGUGGUGCUCUCAGCGCGGCGUGGUCAAUGUGGUCAAUGACCGACUUCCAUCAGAAGAGUACUGUGCGUGGAGAGGCUAACAGCUGGGUCCACGGCGGCCACAAGGAAGUGCCUCCUUAUUACGCUCAAAAUAAUUAUUCCCCCACCUGACAGCUGGGACCCACCAGAUGGGCCACCNNNNNNNNNNNNNNNNNNNNNNNNNNNNNNNNNNNNNNNNNNNNNNNNNNNNNNNNNNNNNNNNNNNNNNNNNNNNNNNNNNNNNNNNNNNNNNNNNNNNUGCAAUAGUUAUAACAUAGGGUGACACAGAACUAGCUCCAGUUCAUCAAUGCAAUAUAGGCAUGUAUUCCGAAUAUAGUCAUACGUGCUUAUGGAAAAGAACUUGCAUGACAUCUUUUGUCCUACCCUCCCGUGGCAGCGGGGUCCUAUUGGAAACUAAGGGAUAUUAAGGCCUCCUUUUAAUAGAGUAUCGGACCAAAGCAUUAACACUUAGUGAAUACAUGAACUCCUCAAACUACGGUCAUCACCGAGAGUGGUCCCGAUUAUUGUCACUUCGGGGUUGUUGGAUCAUAACACAUAAUAGGUGACUAUGGACUUGCAAGAUAGGAUCAAGAACUCACAUAUAUUCAUGAAAACAUAAUAGGUUCAGAUCUGAAAUCAUGGCACUCGGGCCCUAGUGACAAGCAUUAAGCAUAGCAAAGUCAUAGCAACAUCAAUCUUAGAACAUAAUGGAUACUAGGGAUCAAACCCUAACAAAACUAACUCGAUUACAUGGUAAAUCUCAUCCAAACCAUCACCGUCCAGCAAGCCUACGAUGAAAUUACUCACCCACGAUGGUGAGCAUCAUGAAAUUGGUGAUGGAGGAUGAUUGAUGAUGACAACGGCGACGGAUCCCCCUCUCCAAAGCCCCGAACGGACUCUAGAUCAGCCCUCCCAAGAGAGUUUAGGGCUUGGCGGCGGCUCCAUAUCGUAAAACGUGAUGAAUCCUUCUCUCUAUUUUUUUCCACGAACAUGAAUAUAUGGAGUUGGAGUUGAGGUCGGUGGAGCACCAGGGGGCCCACGAGGCAAGGGGGCGCGCCCAAGGGGGUAGGACGCGCCCCCCACCCUCGUGGACAAGAUGUGGGCCCCCUGGCCUUGAUUCUUUCGCCAGUAUUUUUUAUUAAUUCCAAAAAGUUGCUUCGUGGAUUUUCAGGUCAUUACGAGAACUUUUAUUUCUGCACAAAAAUAACACCAUGGCAGUUCUGCAGAAAACAGCAUCAGUCCGGGUUAGUUCCAUUCAAAUCAUGCAAGUUAGAGUCCAAAACAAGGGAAAAGUGUUUGGAAAAGUAGAUACGAUGGAGACGUAUCAGAAACCCCUACACCAUCGGCGACCGAGGAAGGGAUGGAUUCGACAUGCUCGGGGAAAUGCCUGAAAGGUAGAAAAUUUCCUCUUUUCAUUUUAUUGUUUGCAUUUUCUUAGUAUAUUGAUGCAUUGUUUGAUAUUGAUUGGUUGGUUUUUCCUUUACUUUUAUAGUGAGCAAUUGAACGUUGAUGCCCAAGCAUUCAUGCAUGAAUUGAAUUGAAGCCACACACUUAGGCUCAGUGACCAUAUAACCAAACGAGAGAGGAGAUGAUGGAUGAGGGCUAUGAGGUCGAGGAGAUCGAUGAGAGUCAAGUAAAGAAGAUUAGCGGGACGGGUAACUACAAGAUCGAUGAAGACAAAGCUUUGUGUUAAGCUUGGCUCUACGUCUCUCUCGAUGCCACGGUAGCUGGCGACCAAACAAACUAAAGAUUUUAGACUCUCAUCGAGGAUCACUACAACAACAUUGUUCCCAUCCCCUCUAGCCACGCAAUCGGUUCUCUUAGUCAUCAUUGGGGUAACAACAAAGAGCAAUGCGACCAGUGGGCUGGCGGUGUGGACUAACUAAACUUGCAGCCGCCAAUUGGAGUGCCCAUCUACCAAUACAAGAAAGCAUUGCAAGCUCCUUACAAAGAAAGGAACAAUAAAAACGUGGAAAAUAGUUUCCUUUGCAUAAUUGCUACAACGAGCUUGAUGGGGAUGAGAAGUGGAUAAGAAGGAACUUUGAAAUCACACCAAAGAGACAAAUGGCUAAACAAUGGUGAACAAGAAUACUUCGCAAGGAACCCAUCUACUCCUCAUGUGCUUCCGAAUGGAGGAAAAAUGCAAGGCAAGUCAGGAGGAACAGUGGUAUUGUUGCUUACAAGGAAGAGUUGAUUGCAGUGGUGGGUAUGAAAAGGAUUUGGCAGCCGAACGCAAAGAGAAGAAGCUGGAUUGUUUUUAUGAGAUGAAGUCCGUGGAGGAGAUGUGGAAGGCAAAGUCCGUGGCUGAGGAUAGAACGGUGCUUGCGUAGGAGAAAAGGCUUGAGAUUGAGAUGAAAAGGCUCGAAUUGGAGGCGAUGGAGAAAAAUAAAUUGCUUCACAUUGAGGAGCAAAAGGUAGCAAUGGCGGCUGAGGAGAGAAGGGAGAAGAGGGUAACCGAGGACUAUUCUAUCAUGUUCAUGGAUCGUAACAAUAUGGACGAGAAGGUGAGAAGAUAUUGGGAGCUUACUCGUGUCCAUAUCAUGGCUAAGAUGUUUGGUGGCGAUGGUGCAGGCAGUGGCAGUGGUGGUGCAGAUGGCGAAGGCGGUGGUUCAUGAGCCUAUUUGAACUAUGAUGGCAUUUGAUCCACCGCGUGUUGGUGGCUUUUGGAAUGAACUUGCUCAUUCUGUGCCUUUUGGCAAAAAUUGUGGCUACAUGUGAUAGAUUUGAUUAACUAUAUUUAUGGUCGUAGUUGAAGUGUGAUGUGAUGCAUUCAAAAAAAUACUAUAUUUCUGUUGAAAUGAGGUCAGUUUGUUAGAAUGAUUUGAGCAAUAGAUUUCAUGAUUUGUGAACAAAAUUUAUAGGAUAUGGGAUCUGCUAGCUGGGAAAUGGUGAUUUUCCUACAAAAAAAUGGGAAAGUGGGAUACAGAGCACUUUUAGCAGAUUUAGCGAGGGGGUCUGAUAGAGAUUCCCUAAGCUUUGUUGAGCUAGAAGCGGGGCCGCACUGUUUAUAGCUCUUGAGGACUUUGCUAACUUCACAUCUGAGUAGAGAUAAUAAGAUGAGAACUUCAUUUUUCAAAGCUUGUAAAAAUCAGUUUGCUAUGUGAUGUAGAAGUAAUAACCAUAUCGCUUAACUCUAUACCGCUAUUUUUCCUGUGAUAUAAAAAAGCACUAUCUUAGGGCCUUUUGGAUCCUCGUCGGCUUCUCUAAACUCCACAGGUUAAACUUCUUGGUGUGGCUUCUUGCUCCACGCAGCGAUUCCAUCACCGUUCGAGAGUGACUCCAGGUUCUCCCAGCAUUGCAGCCCAGCUAGGUGGUUGGUGGUUUGUGGGCGUUAGAUUGGGUAACCUAGAGGCAGCCCAGUUCGGGCCAACCACUACAGAGGGGGGCUNNNNNNNNNNNNNNNNNNNNNNNNNNNNNNNNNNNNNNNNNNNNNNNNNNNNNNNNNNNNNNNNNNNNNNNNNNNNNNNNNNNNNNNNNNNNNNNNNNNNAAUUCAAAUUUCACUUGAAUUAAAACAUGAUGCUCACAUGAGGGUCUAGCCUAGUGCAUAACAGGACCAGGGAUGUGACAACUCACCCCCACUAAACAAAAAUCUCGUCCCGAGAUUUAAGACGUGAGGUAAAGAGUCAGAGGGGUCACAAGCUAACACGAUCUCCACAAUCCAACUGUCCUUCUCAAGAUGUUGAUUUACUGACUCAAAUUGAUCUUGAUGUCUUGCCUUCGAAAUCUUCAUCCAACAUGACGAUGACAGAGGGAAACUCUACGGAAUCGAUCUUCUCAAAGAUCGAACAACUCGGGAUCAACUCACGGAAUAAAACAUAGUAACAUCUCUCGAGCUGAGACACGAAGCACACAUCUAGAGGAAUGGAGUGAAGCAGAUGACGAAGGUUCACUAGGUAGACAACAAUUCCACACCUAAGAAGGUGGUAAACGAUUGCCAACGUUGCGAGGAGUUGAGUUGCCAUGAUACCAUAAUGAUGCACCUUAGGGAAGGUGACUCGUAGAAUCAUCCCCUUAAGUGGCAAAAAGAAUUACCUUUGAUUCAGAGAUCAUUGAAACUCUUUAUACCAGCCUAAGGCAAUUCUCGAGCGAUCGUUUGGUGGAGUGCAAAGGAAUGGCAUAUCCAGACUAGAAUGGAUGAUGUGGAUUACCUUGUUGAGGACAACGUAAUGGAUGAAUUUGCUUACCACCGGAAAUGGAAGAGACCCAUGGUAGAAUGGCACAUUGGCGGUGCAAGCUGGGAACAAAAUGCAAAUGCUGGGAAUGAUUCUGGUAACUAGGGAAGAACCCAACAAUAGAGAGUGAAUUCACUGUUUGAAAAGGUCAUAGCAUUGCCGAGGAAACUAAGAGCACUAUACAGUUAAUGCCGACGAUCAAACCUAGCACUUGCGCAUGCUCUCAAGAACUUGAGCAUUUCCAUAAUCAUCAAGAUUUUACCAAUAUCCGUGUCAAGGAUCCUGGCAACACAUCAUACUACCAUGAUGAAUACCGGUGGAAGAUGUAGAUGCAAAGGAAGAUAACACUUUCUCAGAUUUCACCUUAACGAGGCCAAGGGGACGAAAUCUGGAUGAUCGACCGAGAGACAUUUAGCACUCCACUUCUAAUGUUCUCCUUGAUGUGCUAGCGUAAUCCACCCAUAGAUAUGGUUUGAUAUCUAGAACAUCAAGUAAAAAGGUCGGACUUCGGAACAUAGAAAUCCAUAGGGGCAACUAGGGAGUAAAUCCUACGAAAUCCCUAUGGGGAGGUGGCCAACUUCUCCAAUCAAGAUACUACAAUAUUAGGUCUCCCGGCGGGGUGUGUUGGCCACGACAUCCACUUUACCGGUUUCCAAGGGACCGAUAUUAUAGUUCUUGGGAAAUGUUCCAAACCAUCAUAUCUGCCUGAGAUUCAGAUCUGGUUAGUGUUAGGAUAUUCCAGACUCAUCGAGUCUAGGAAGAAAAACGAAAGUUUGCAACACAAAUCGACGAGAUGAUGUUGCGAGAUUCUCGGGGAAUGAACUACGAUAGUAAGCUCCAAAACAUGAGCUGGUUCUGAUACAAACAUGUGAACACAUUGUCCUAGACAAGCAUGGCCACGUAGUAGUCUUAUAAUUAAACACUACCGAGUUCAGGUGGGGAACCAUCAUCGAGGAUAUCGAAGUCUUUACACAAGUCCAUGGAUUAGAUCCCAAGCAUAGACUUCUUUUCCUUGAACAAGUCAAUCAGUGGCUUAGUGUGCUAGGGACACAUAUAGAAUGAAGGUUGCAAGCCUCCAGACUACAGAAUACUUCGCACGUGUGCAUGACUGAUUUGGGAUGAUUCCAAAGGAAACAAAACAAUCUUCCUCGAAUUCAUGGCGGCAACUUACAUCAGAUGCACAUGAAUUAGAGGAAGUCACUACUUUCAUCCAAACAUAGGCUUCAUGAACGGAGCACGAAGACAUUGCUUACAAAAUUUUCAACACUAGGUUGAUGUUCAACAUGAUUCAUGGGGGGAUACAGAAUGCUACUGAUGGGCUCAACAGCAACUCAUCGGAAUUUCCAUAUCACUGGACUUCCACCAUCAUGUGAACACGGUGAUAGGAUUGGUCAGACCAAAGAUGUAAUGGUGUAUGCUCGAGGGAUCAACCACGAGUAAGACAACAUUACGAGCAUCGUUGGUACUGAUUUGAUUUGACGAUAGCCCACACUCAAAUCAAAGGAUUGAUAAGACAAUAGGUCCAGCAACUGAUCACAGGGACCAAUCGAUGAAGAUAUCAUCUUUCUUCAACACACACUACACAAGAAUAUCCCUUUGGAAUGAACUAAGUCAGGCAAGCUUUUAUCUUCCAACUCUCCAAGUUGUUGUCUAGCUUAACCAACUGGCUCAGGGAUAUCUAACACCGAUCCUUGGAGAAUGGCUAGUUUACAAGAAACCAACUUGAUCACGAACUCAACAUAGCGGUCAGGCGACAACCUGGUGAUACUUUCGUGAAGAUAUUUGGAAAAUCACGAACCACCGAUAUGUUACUAAGCUCGAGAACAAUCUUGCUUUUUGAGGCAAGACGAUAUGAUCAAUAGAGCGAAGAUUUGAAAUAAUCCUAACUCAUCGAUCGAGGAGUGCACCGAGAACAAGGACUAGGUAGCACAAUCAGUCUUAGAAUGAUGAUUCAAUAACCAACACGCUAAGAGUGAAAGUUUUGUCCUUUAACUACCAAGCAAUAGUAUUGCUAGGAGUAUUGAUUUCACACACCACGAUUCACUUGUCGGCAUUCCGGUUACAAUAACACAAGAACCGAGGAAUGAACAAUGAUGGCAAGAAGUAUCACUGUACCAAGAGUUCAUAGGAUGGUGUGCAAUUCCUAUAACAAUCCCGAUAUAAAAGAUGGUAAUACUCCAAGGUAGAGCAGAACAAAAGCUGGAUUAGCAAUUUGUUCUGUGGAGCACAACUUCUUUGACCCAAUCCUAGAUAUGGAAGAGGUACUGGAGUUUGUUUCUCCUAGUCAUUCCGUGAUAGAAUGGCUUGACGGACCACAAGAGUAAUAGGCAUCGAUAAACGAAUGCAUGCAUACUCUUGACUAUCAAUUGAUAGACGAAGGUCAGUAGACAACUAAAGAGGGACAACUCAAAGGAACAUAUAACUUUCUGAGUUGUGGAUGCAUANNNNNNNNNNNNNNNNNNNNNNNNNNNNNNNNNNNNNNNNNNNNNNNNNNNNNNNNNNNNNNNNNNNNNNNNNNNNNNNNNNNNNNNNNNNNNNNNNNNNAUGCUUAAAUAAGCAAACAUGCAAUAAGUCAUUCAACACAGAAUCAUCACCAAGAUUAGAGGUCAUAUCAAAAUGAUUAAACAUUGGUUCUUUUGCAUCAAUAGUUAAUUCAAUGGGUGCACUCAAAAUUGUUGGUAUUUCAGUUGUUUGAUCACAUGGCAAAGUCAAAUUAUCAACGUAGUCCUCUAAAAUAGGUGGUGUGAUCAAAGUAGUGGGUAGCUCAUCAGAUGGUGCAUUCAAAUAGUGGGGGAGUAUGUACUCAGAGGAGUAUAUAUGCAUGUCAUUUUGCAUACAAGGAAAUUAGAUAGUAUGAGUUGGCUGAGGUAACAAGUAUGAGCAGUAUGUGGUUAAGUAGAAAUAAUAAGUUAAUAACCUUUUGCGUCUCCUUUAGGGAUGCCAAGCCCAAAUAAAGUAUAUCCAAAGUCAAUCCUAUGUUAAUCUCAAAUUAAAAUCACACUACAUUGAGCUUUAUGCUGCGUUUGGCACUGCGGUGGAUUAUUAUAAUCCCAUUUGCUCAAACCUGCCUUUGCCUAUUGUAGUGUUCGUUUGACUCGCUUUUGCUUACUUUGCUGCUAAUUUUCCACAACAGAUUAUAGAAUAGGCACAACAAAAUAAGUACGCAUGGGGAGCUUUUGUGGGCGCCUGCUUGCAUCCGUUGUUUUCCUUAGUUCAACUGGUUACUCAUGUAGAAUUCAGUUUUUUAUCUCGACUAACAAAUGGAAGGAUUGUGGCAUUCCCAGGUAUAGGCAGGUGGCAUACCUGAAACUCCAACGACAUGAUGAUGCCGUGUCAACUGUUGCAUAAAUCACCUCCAGAAAAUCUGAAUUUGAUGUAUUGGUUUUGAUGAAAGGGCAGUGGGCCUGAGGUAUUGCCUAGGAAGUCAAUUUAAUUUCCUGUUUCAUCUCUGUAAUUAAAAAAAAAAAUCCUUCCGAGACUUCUGUUUACUGGUAUAAAUAUUGGAUGUGGUAGUUUCCAUAGCAGGCCUAAUCCUGACAAAUACGACUCGUACAGCUAAGAGUUUGAUGCUGUUGCACGACUAUUAUAUUAAAAAUUGUAUGCCUGUUCGAUGCACUGACAUUGAUGUCUCGGUAAACAAACUGAUGCAAGAAGGCACACUGAGUUUUGUUAUCUUAGGAUGAGUUUGUUAUCUUAUGGCGUGUUUGGUUAUUGGCAUCAAAUUUGGCCGUUUUGCAUCAUGUUUUGCAUCAUGUUUUGUUGCAUGCAAUCGAUUGCUUGCAUCAGGGUAGCAACUUCCCCAUCGGUGUUUGGUUGCCUGCCUUUCAUGAUUUUUGGCUGGGCUGAUGCAGUAGGUUGUGUUUGGUAGCACACAUUUGGCCUGAUGUUGUGCGCUUACCGGCUACCAUCCUAAUCAGUGUUGUCAUAACAUCAAAACAACAAUAAUAAUAAACACACAAUCAUUGAUCACACGAUAACAUCAAG